rnacentral:rRNA from 1 species
UUACUAGAGCAAAGGAUAGACAGCGCCCGUGGAGCUCGCUCCCGCGGCCACCCUACUCCGGUAGGGUUUAGAGUCGUCGAGCCUCUCGAAGAAGCUCGGUCCUGAACUCCACCCUUGAAUAAACUACCUUUGUUGCUUUGGCGGGCCGCCUCGUGCCAGCGGCUUCGGCUGUUGAGUGCCCGCCAGAGGACCACAACUCUUGUUUUUAGUGAUGUCUGAGUACUAUAUAAUAGUUAAAACUUUCAACAACGGAUCUCUUGGUUCUGGCAUCGAUGAAGAACGCAGCGAAAUGCGAUAAGUAAUGUGAAUUGCAGAAUUCAGUGAAUCAUCGAAUCUUUGAACGCACAUUGCGCCCUCUGGUAUUCCGGGGGGCAUGCCUGUUCGAGCGUCAUUAUAACCACUCAAGCUCUCGCUUGGUAUUGGGGUUCGCGGUUUCGCGGCCCCUAAAAUCAGUGGCGGUGCCUGUCGGCUCUACGCGUAGUAAUACUCCUCGCGAUUGAGUCCGGUAGGUUUACUUGCCAGCAACCCCUAAUUUUUUAAGGUUGACCUCGGAUCAGGUAGGGAUACCCGCUGAACUUAAGCAUAUCAAUAAGCGGAGGAAAAGAAACCAACAGGGAUUACCUCAGUAACGGCGAGUGAAGCGGUAACAGCUCAAAUUUGAAAGCUGGCUCUUUUAGGGUCCGCGUUGUAAUUUGUAGAAGAUGCUUCGGGUGUGGCCCCGGUCUAAGUUCCUUGGAACAGGACGUCAUAGAGGGUGAGAAUCCCGUAUGUGACUGGGUGCUUUCGCUCAUGUGAAGCUCUUUCGACGAGUCGAGUUGUUUGGGAAUGCA